UACGGGGGGGGCAAGCGUUGUUCGGAAUUACUGGGCGUAAAGGGCUCGUAGGCGGCCAACUAAGUCAGACGUGAAAUCCCUCGGCUUAACCGGGGAACUGCAUCUGAUACUGGAUGGCUUGAGUUCGGGAGAGGGAUGCGGAAUUCCAGGUGUAGCGGUGAAAUGCGUAGAUAUCUGGAGGAAUACCGGUGGCGAAGGCGGCAUCCUGGACCGACAUUGACGCUGAGGAGCGAAAGCUAGGGGAGCAAACGGG
rnacentral:rRNA from 1 species